GUGUUCGUGAAAAGGAGAGAUGGUUGGCAUCUCCCCUGACAGGGACGGGAACUGUCUUUGGACAUUUCUUGUUUCCCACACAUCCGGUUAAGGCUACCCACCUUAAAGGUGGAUCUUAUACCAAUUUUUUUU
rfam:Citrus clementina cultivar Clemenules unplaced genomic scaffold scaffold_4, whole genome shotgun sequence.